rnacentral:pre_miRNA from 1 species
UCUCUCAACCUAAACCCACGCGACCCUAAACCCUCUCUCCUUCAAGCUUUUGCCUAACUGAAGCCACUCUCUCAACGUCAAGCCUUUCACCCUCCUCUCUUGCUUCCCUACUCUCCCUUUGGAGCCAUUGGGCGUCAUAUUUUCCCUUUACAUCUCCAAUACCAAGCCUCCGACCUCUUCAUAUUCGGUGCUCUCUACAUCCCCACAAAAGCGAGCACAUUCACGAUCCAUAUGAGGAUCAGUGAGAGGGAGAUCGAACUUCAGAAACCAUAUCGAGACCCCGUGAAGGUCCCAUUUCAAUUCGACGAUUUUAGAAAUUGAGCGUCUCUGGCUCAUCCGUCCAAAGACAACCGGAACGGGCCCCUCACACCGACAAACUCUGAUUCGGGCCGUCAACUCUGGGUGUCGGGCCUUUGGGGCCGGCUUUGCCUCAAAUAGGUUUGUGCUUUUUUUUCCCCUUUGUUAUUGUUAUUAUUAUUGUCUUGUUAUUUUAUUUUUAAAGCAUUUUCAAACCCCCUACCCAUUUUCCUGUUUUUUUUAAUUUUAUAUUUGUUUUGGUUCUAAGGUGAAGUUUAGUCAGCACGAUCGGUGGUGCGUGAAUGAGAGGUCAUUUUUAGUCAAUUUUUCAGAUAUCCAUAAUUUGACGGAACCCUUAUUUUUUCUGCCUCUGAUCGACGAGUUUGAAAGGGAAAUCAGGUGGAAAUUUAUGAUUAUUACUUGAUUUCUCGUUUAAACUAGUUGAUCAUAGGUAGAAAAUAAGGGGCUCCGUCAAAUCAUAGAUUCUCAAAAAUUGACUAAAAAUGACCUCUUUUUCACGGACUGCCAAUCGUGUCGGCUAAACUUCGCCUUAGAAAGAAAAAAAUAGAAAAUUAAAACAUAGCAAAUGUUUUUGAGGGGGGGGGGGGGUGGGGGUGGAUGAAAAUACUUUAAAAAUAAAAUAACAAGAUAAAAAUAAAUAAUAAAAAAAAGGAGAAAAAAAGAGCACAUACGUAUUUGAGGUGAAGCCAAGCCCACAUUUGAUGGCUCGGAUCAGAGUUUGUUGGUGCGAGGGGACCGUUCCCAUUGUUGUCGGACGGAUGAGCUAGAGAUGCUCAAUUUUUUAAGUUAUCAUCGAAUUGAAAUGGGGCCUUCACAGGGUCUCAAUAUGGAUUCUGAAGUUCGAUAUCCCUCUCAUUGAUCCUUGUAUUGAUCGUGAAUGUGCUUGCUUUUGUGGGGAUUUAGAGAGCGAAUAUGAAGAGGCUAGGACUUGUUAUUGGAGCUGUGAAGGGAAAAUAUGAUGCCCAAUGGCUGCAAAGGGGAGAGGAGGGUGAAAGGCUUGACGAUGAGAGAGAGUCUUGAGGGAGAGUGGCUUGAGAUAGGCAAAGGCUUGAGGGAGAUAGGGUUUGGGGUCGCAUGGGUUUACGCUGAGAGA